rnacentral:rRNA from 1 species
UACAGAGGGUGCAAGCGUUGUUCGGAAUUAUUGGGCGUAAAGGCGCGUAGGCGGUGCGGUAAGUCUGUAGUGAAAUCUCUGGGCUCAACUCAGAGUCUGCUGCAGAAACUGCCGUGCUUGAGUGUGGGAGAGGUGAGUGGAAUUCCCGGUGUAGCGGUGAAAUGCAUAGAGAUCCGGAAGAACACCGACGGCGAAGGCAGCGUCCUGGCCGAGCACUGACGCUCAGGCACGAAAGCGCGGGGAGCAAACAGG